rnacentral:misc_RNA from 1 species
GAUGAAGAACGCAGCGAAAUGCGAUAAGUAGUGUGAAUUGCAGAAUUCAGUGAAUCAUCGAAUCUUUGAACGCACAUUGCGCCCCUUGGUAUUCCAUGGGGCAUGCCUGUUCGAGCGUCAUUUGUACCUUCAAGCUUUGCUUGGUGUUGGGUGUUUGUCCAUUCUCUUGCAGAGGGACUCGCCUUAAAGUAAUUGGCAGCCAGUGUUUUGGUUUUGAAGCGCAGCACAAGUCGCGAUUCAACGCUAUACGCCAGCUUCCACAAGCCUUUUUCACUUUUGACCUCGGAUCAGGUAGGGAUACCCGCUGAACUUAAGCAUAUCAAUAAGCGGAGA